AAGAAGUGAAAUAAAAAGCGCCCAUCCAUAAAAAAAAGUGUCUCACACGGCUCCGGGGGUGAACAAAAGCCUCCUGCAGCGAAUCGUAGCGCCCUUACAAGAAAACA